rnacentral:rRNA from 1 species
AUGUCUUUGGCGUCAUCUGGCUAUGUUGCCAUCCCGCGCUGCCCGGUGAUAUUUGAUGGGGCUAACUAUGCUGAGUUCGUUGCCUUUAUGCGCACUCACAUGCGUGGCAUUCGUCUCUGGGGUGUUCUUUCCGGUGAGGUCCCCUGUCCUCCGCGCCCAGUGCCUCCUAUGGCUCCUACCCCACCGCCGACGCCACCAUCUCUUGACACAAAUGCUUCUGAUGCUGAUAGGGCUGCAGCCAGGGUUGCUGCUGAUGAUGCAGAUGCCGCUUAUGACCAGGAGGUCUUGGAUUAUUCAAAUUCUCCUUCUGUUUAUCGUGACGAUCUGGCUGCUUACACUCAGUGGUGUGAUGAUGAUGCUCAUGCUGCGACUAUUCUCAUUUCCAGUGUUUAG